rnacentral:rRNA from 1 species
UACGUAGGGUGCGAGCGUUGUCCGGAAUUACUGGGCGUAAAGAGCUCGUAGGUGGUUUGUCGCGUUGUUCGUGAAAACUCACAGCUCAACUGUGGGCGUGCGGGCGAUACGGGCAGACUAGAGUACUGCAGGGGAGACUGGAAUUCCUGGUGUAGCGGUGGAAUGCGCAGAUAUCAGGAGGAACACCGGUGGCGAAGGCGGGUCUCUGGGCAGUAACUGACGCUGAGGAGCGAAAGCGUGAGGAGCGAACAGG